GGCACAGACACUUGUGCGCAACAUACUCCAGCAGCUGUGAGCUCAACAACCGCGGACGUCCGGAUACCUUACGUAGAUUAGCACGCAGCAACACAAAGCCGUCCUUCAUUCAUUCAUUCAUCAUGAACGUAAUGUCGUCGUGAGCUGUCGUUAUAUAGUUCACUGCCAUCAUUAUGUAGAGCUGCGCGUACGGCAGUAUAUGAGUACAACUACCAUUAGACACCGCUCACUCUGGUGUUCAGCCGUUGCUCGUUGAGAGAAAGUGAGAGCGAGGGAUCGAGGGAGCUAGACGCAAUCACAAGGAAAACGUAUACAACUUCAACCACAGGUGCAGCCGAGUGCAGCCGAAUGCAGCCUAGUAGAGAUCACAGCGACAAACUACGACAGACCAAAAUGCAUUCUCCAGGAGUAACAUGGAGUGCGCUUGGCAAAGUGCUAUUGGGGGCGACACUAGUACUGCUCGCAGUGACCGCUGCCAUGCCGAUGGACGACGCCGGGACCCACGGUGCGAGAGUGAAGCGACAUGGUCCACAAGCAGGCAUAUCGAGUACCAGCGUCCGCGCCCUAUUGUGCCAAUACUCGAGUUACUUCAUAAGCAGUCAUAACUGCGUGUGCUCAGACUCUAGACGCCAGCGGCACCUGCUAGCGGCAGUUACAUGCGGGGCAGCGUGUCGCUAUUAUAUAGGACCGGCCACCCAUCAACUCAGCCGCGUGUCGUCGGAAAUCCCCUGCUCCAACUUAACCGCGAUAGCCAACAAAUACUA